rnacentral:rRNA from 1 species
AGCGGACGCUGGCGGCAGGCUUAACACAUGCAAGUCGAGCGGGCCCUUCGGGGUCAGCGGCGGACGGGUGAGUAACGCGUGGGAACGUGCCUUCUGGUCUGGAAUAACCCUGGGAAACUAGGGCUAAUACCGGAUACGCCCUUUUGGGGAAAGGUUUACUGCCGGAAGAUCGGCCCGCGUCUGAUUAGCUAGUUGGUGGGGUAACGGCCUACCAAGGCGACGAUCAGUAGCUGGUCUGAGAGGAUGAUCAGCCACACUGGGACUGAGACACGGCCCAGACUCCUACGGGAGGCAGCAGUGGGGAAUAUUGGACAAUGGGCGCAAGCCUGAUCCAGCCAUGCCGCGUGAGUGAUGAAGGCCUUAGGGUUGUAAAGCUCUUUUAUCCGGGACGAUAAUGACGGUACCGGAGGAAUAAGCCCCGGCUAACUUCGUG